rnacentral:rRNA from 1 species
CAGCCUCCGCGGUAAAACGUAGGUGGCAAGCGUUGUCCGGAAUUAUUGGGCGUAAAGGGCUCGCAGGCGGUUUCUUAAGUCUGAUGUGAAAGCCCCCGGCUCAACCGGGGAGGGUCAUUGGAAACUGGGAGACUUGAGUGCAGAAGAGGAGAGUGGAAUUCCACGUGUAGCGGUGAAAUGCGUAGAGAUGUGGAGAAACACCAGUGGCGAAGGCGACUCUCUGGUCUGUAACUGACGCUGAGGAGCGAAAGCGUGGGGAGCGAACAGGAUUAGAGACCCCCGUAGUCCCUGUCUCUUAUAA